rnacentral:rRNA from 1 species
AGAGUUUGAUUCUGGCUCAGGACGAACGCUGGCGGCGUGCCUAACACAUGCAAGUCGAACGGAGAUAGGAAGAGCUUGCUCUUCCGAUUCUUAGUGGCGGACGGGUGAGUAACGCGUGAGCAACCUGCCUUUCAGAGGGGGAUAACGUUUGGAAACGAACGCUAAUACCGCAUAAGAUCGUAGGACCACAUGGUGUAGCGACCAAAGGAGCAAUCCGCUGAAAGAUGGGCUCGCGUCUGAUUAGAUAGUUGGUGGGGUAACGGCCUACCAAGUCGACGAUCAGUAGCCGGACUGAGAGGUUGAACGGCCACAUUGGGACUGAGAUACGGCCCAG